ensembl:lncRNA
AGCUCCGGGAGUCGCAGACGGCAACAAUCACCUCCUCCUCCCUGCAACGGUUCACUUUGGACUGCACUGCAGACAAUUAUCGCACAGCAUCACCUACUUUCACCUCGUCACCUCUCGGGGGCCCUGUAUGUGAAGCAGUAUAAAGAAGAGGAAGAGGAAGAAACUACCAACAUGGACGACCACCAUAAGGACUGGUUACGGCUGAAGGGGAAGGUGAAGUUGGUCAACACCUCUGGCCAACUCCUCAAUAAGAUCCAGGCAUGGCUGGAGAAGAAGGAGAAUUGUGCAAAGAAUCUAUGGAAGCUGCAGUAUGGAAGAUGCAAAGAAGGCGGCAAAGGAGAGCGAAAUAAUUGAAGAGGAAAUAUUGGAACUGAUAGAAAAGCUAAAGAUGGAGAGAGUGAACCCUAUGCAAGAUGCAAGCGAGUACAUUGCAAUGUGUAUUUUUGAAGCCAUGUCGGGGAUGGGUCACAAAGGGCGGCUCCUGCAUGGUUUUAUUAAAGUUGGUGAUACUCUAAUGGCACUAUGUAGUUUUUUCGUAAUUUUGAGCCUUAAAAAACGAGGAAAAAUAUCAACAAUGCUGGUGACAACGAUAAUACAGGAACUUGCAGUCGCCGGAGGAAAGUUUGCAGCUAAAGGAUUAUGUAUGGCAGUGGCAGGAGGGAUUGGAAUGGUAUUCGCACUUCCGGAGUCGAUUGACAGCUGGAAGGAGCUUGUCACAAAAAAGCAUGUGACUGAAGCCAGCCAAUCACUGAAGAACACAGCUGAAAACAUUGAUCAGUUCUGCAAGGACCUGAGGAACAAUCUUAAAAGGAUUCAGGAGGACAUUGAACAGAUGAACCAGCAAAUGAACCAGCAGACGACCAACAAUAAAGGAAACCAGAGCAAUCAGAACCAGCAGACCAACAGCCAUCAAGGAGACCAGAGAAAUCAGAACCAGCAGACCAAUAGCAAACCAGGGGAUGAUGAUGAGGAGGACAAGCAGCAGAACAACAGGGGGCAUUUGGACAUCCAGUUUACGGACAGCGACGAGGAGAGUGACAGCGACGAGGAGAGUGACAGCGAUGAGGAGAGCGACAGUGACGAGGAAGGCUAUUUGCAGAUGGGACUGUUCAAUAUCAGGUCCAUGGUCCAAAAGGCUGAUAUGGUAUCGGAAGUCAUCCAAACAAACAUGCUCGAUGUCUUUCUCACCACGGAAACCUGGUUAAGGCCUUUAAAUUUCGAGACAGUGCUCCAGAACGCUUGUCCCCCUAACUUUGAAUUCCACCAUCAGGCCAGACCAAAGGGGCCUGAUGGUAAAGAAAGAAGAGGCGGCGGCGUGGCCAUCCAACACAGGGAUGUGUACAUCGGCCAAGAGAUAAGGGUUCCAUUCGAUACAGCGUUUGAGUAUGUGGCCGUGGUCCUGGAAAACGACCAGUGGGAGGUUCCCGUCCUCUUGGUCAACGUGUACUUUCCUCCGGGAUACAACCGGGUACAAUUUCAGCGGUUUGUAUAUGACUUCAGCAAGCUGCUGGACAAUUUAGAGGAGAGGGGGUACGACCACGUCAUCUUCACAGGUGAUUUCAAUAUCCACAUGGACGAAGGCAUGCAGUCCUCUGCCAUAGAGUUUCAUUGGCUGUUAAAUAAUAGGGGUCUUGAGCUACGUACCAACGGGCCAACACGUUAUCCAGGGAGACACACACUGGACCUGGUCUUCACCCGGAAUGUGGAUAUUCGCAAUUUAUCCUAUGAAUACACUCCCGUUGAGGAACGUGUCUCGGAUCAUGUGAUUAUUUUAUUCCAAGCCACUCCGAUAUCAAUAGACAAAAAAAAAAAAAAAAAAGAGAAAAAGAGGAAAUUCAUACGAAAAAAAUAA